AGCAGCAGCCACGGUAAUACAGAGGGUGCAAGCGUUAAUCGGAAUUACUGGGCGUAAAGCGCGCGUAGGUGGUUUGUUAAGUCGAAUGUGAAAUCCCCGGGCUCAACCUGGGAACUGCAUCCGAAACUGGCAAGCUAGAGUAUGGUAGAGGGUAGUGGAAUUUCCUGUGUAGCGGUGAAAUGCGUAGAUAUAGGAAGGAACACCAGUGGCGAAGGCGACUACCUGGACUGAUACUGACACUGAGGUGCGAAAGCGUGGGGAGCAAACAGGAUUAGAUACCCCGGUAGUCCCUGUCUCUUAUAA
rnacentral:rRNA from 1 species